AUUGAACGCUGGCGGCAUGCCUUACACAUGCAAGUCGAACGGUAACGGGCCUUCGGGUGCCGACGAGUGGCGAACGGGUGAGUAAUACAUCGGAACGUGCCCGAUCGUGGGGGAUAACGAGGCGAAAGCUUUGCUAAUACCGCAUACGAUCUACGGAUGAAAGCAGGGGACCGCAAGGCCUUGCGUGGACGGAGCGGCCGAUGGCAGAUUAGGUAGUUGGUGGGAUAAAAGCUUACCAAGCCGACGAUCUGUAGCUGGUCUGAGAGGAUGAUCAGCCACACUGGGACUGAGACACGGCCCAGACUCCUACGGGAGGCAGCAGUGGGGAAUUUUGGACAAUGGGCGCAAGCCUGAUCCAGCCAUGCCGCGUGCAGGAUGAAGGCCUUCGGGUUGUAAACUGCUUUUGUACGGAACGAAAAGCCUUCUUUUAAUACAGGAGGGUCAUGACGGUACCGUAAGAAUAAGCACCGGCUAACUACGUG
rnacentral:rRNA from 1 species